AGUAAGGCCAACCUCCAUGCACCAUUUUCUUGUCUGUAGCCAUGUCUGUGGGCUCUGGAGUUGGCCACCUGGGAGAGGGCCUGCU
rnacentral:pre_miRNA from 1 species